CAAUAGCGUAUAUUAAAGUUGUUGCAGUUAAAAAGCUCGUAGUUGGAUUUCUGGUUGAAGCGACCGGUCGUGCGUUGAUUCGUCUGCACUGGAGUCGGUUUUGGCCAUCCUCUAGGAAAGUGCGUCUGGUAUUAAGUUAUCGGGCGUAUGAUCCUGGUCUUUUACUGUGAAAAAAUUAGAGUGUUUAAAGCAGGCCUUCGCCUUGAAUACAUUAGCAUGGAAUAAUAAGAUAGGACUUUGGUCUAUUUUGUUGGUUUGCAGACCGAAGUAAUGAUUAAUAGGGAUAGUUGGGGGUAUUUAUAUUCCGAUGUCAGAGGUGAAAUUCUUAGAUUUUCGGAAGAUAAACUUAUGCGAAAGCAUUUACCAAGGAUGUUUUCAUUAA
rnacentral:rRNA from 1 species